UACAGGAACUGUUUGGUUGGAGUUGG
rnacentral:piRNA from 1 species